UCUCAUAAGGACAACACUGAUGACGGAAGCAUAUGCCAAAGAAAUACAACUCACAACAACAUGUUUCAUAUUCAGGACAAUAAUACCAGUCUCCACAUUCACUUGGCUUAGGAUAAGGUGGCGGAGGGGGCGAAGGGGAUGGCGGAGGAGGUGAUGGAGGAGGAGGUGGUGGAGGGGGCGGAGGGGAAGGUGAAGGAGGUAGUGGAGGCAAUGGUGAAGGAGGUGGUGGAACAGCUGGAAACGGGUAAGGUGAGGGUGGAGGAUGCGACGGAGGGGAUGGUGGAGGAGAUGGUGGAACAGUUGGAGAUGGAUAAGGAUAUGGUGCAAAAGGUGGCUGAGGGGAUGGGGGUGGAGGGAAUAGUGGAACGUCUGGAGAUAACGGAGGGGAUGGUGGAGGAGGUGGUGGAACGAUCGGAGACGGAUAAGGAAAUGGUGCAGAAGGAGGUGGAGAGGAUGGUGGAGUAGAUGGCGGAAUGGCUGGAGAUGGAUAAGGAGAUGGCUCGGAAGGUGGUGAAGGGGACGGAGAGGGAGAUGAUGCAGAAGGUGGUGGAGGGGGAUAAGGGGAUGGAGAAGGUGGUGGAACGGCUGAAGAUGGGGGAGAGGGCAGAGGGAAUGGUGGUGGAGGUGGUUGAACAGCCGGAGAUGGAUAAGGAGAUAGUUCAAAAGAUAAUUCCUUCGUAGGAUAAGAA
rnacentral:lncRNA from 1 species